GCACAUGUUCCCAAGGUCUGUGGCUGGUGUGACCAUCUGAUCUUCAACUGCAUGCAAGAGCAACUGUGACAGCUCAGGUCCGCAAAGGAUCUGCAGCUGCCACUCGCCUUUCCUAUACAA
rnacentral:snoRNA from 1 species